rnacentral:rRNA from 1 species
UACGGGGGGGGCAAGCGUUGUUCGGAAUUACUGGGCGUAAAGAGCUCGUAGGCGGCUUGUCGCGUCGACUGUGAAAACCCGCGGCUCAACUGUGGGCUUGCAGUCGAUACGGGCAGGCUGGAGUUCGGUAGGGGAGACUGGAAUUCCUGGUGUAGCGGUGAAAUGCGCAGAUAUCAGGAAGAACACCAAUGGCGAAGGCAGCUCUCUGGGACGGUACUGACGCUGAGACGCGAAAGCGUGGGGAGCGAACAGG